rnacentral:sRNA from 1 species
CGUUGGCGGACUUGGCACAACCGCUGCAUUAGCUAAUUCAUCAAUCAUAAAACCCGGUCUUCAACGACGAAGAACAGGUUUCCCGAGAGAACGGGACAAGGACAAAGGCGUCCUCGCUAGGCAACUAGCGGGACGCC